rnacentral:tRNA from 1 species
AGUUGUUUAUCUUUGAGGAAAGUAAAUGUUUUGAAAGCAUUCUAAAAGAGUUCGACUCUCUUAACAACUU